CCUCGGGUGGCAGCAGUGGGGAAUAUUGGACAAUGGGCGAAAGCCUGAUCCAGCCAUGCCGCGUGUGUGAAGAAGGCCUUCGGGUUGUAAAGCACUUUCAGUGGGGAAGAAAGCCUUGGGGCUAAUACCCUCGAGGAAGGACAUCACCCACAGAAGAAGCACCGGCUAACUCCGUGCCAGCAGCCGCGGUAAUACGGAGGGUGCGAGCGUUAAUCGGAAUUACUGGGCGUAAAGCGCGCGUAGGCGGUCUGAUAAGCCGGUUGUGAAAGCCCCGGGCUCAACCUGGGAACGGCAUCCGGAACUGUCAGGCUAGAGUGCAGGAGAGGAAGGUAGAAUUCCCGGUGUAGCGGUGAAAUGCGUAGAGAUCGGGAGGAAUACCAGUGGCGAAGGCGGCCUUCUGGACUGACACUGACGCUGAGGUGCGAAAGCGUGGGUAGCAAACAGGAUUAGAUACCCUGGUAGUC
rnacentral:rRNA from 1 species